ensembl:lncRNA
UUUCUGUACCUGCGUUUCUCUAACUCAUGCCUUGUUCUUGGUGGCUUCAUGGCUUUUGAUACGGAGCAAUUGGGCCAGGACCCUUCCUGAGUGUGCAGUGGGAUUUUUUGAAGGCCCGUAUGUGCUUCCAGUUUGCAUGCAUGCCAGCCUUGUCCAUCUGGAGACAGUGCCUCUUUCUCAGCUCAUCGUAAACAGCUACAGCAUGUGUUCAGGAGCAAUGUAGUAGGCAUGGCUGUGUCUCCAGGGAGCAGCGGGUGGGAGCAUGGAACCCCAGCUGAUGUGUGUUUUGUGCAGUAGAAAUUUCCAGAAGCGUCCUGAGGUGCUUUUGCCCCAGGUGCUGUAUGGACACGGGCAGUGCUGGGCUCUGCCCAGGUACUGGGGGGAGGCAGUGCGAGUGCUGGCGCUGCUUAGGCCUGCGUUCCUGGUAGGGAGCUGGUCCUGGAUGGCUCACAGAGGGCCGUGUUGUCAUAUUCCAUCUGCCUGCCAUGGGGCUCCAGGUGUUUUUUCUGUGGUGGCCCUUAUACCAAUGAAUGGAGACCCCAGUAUGUGCCCUUCAGCUCCGGUGGCUGCUGAGAACUCAGAACGGAGGACUGCCUCUUUCCCUCAGCACAGUACUGCUUGUGUUUGUCUGCUCUCUCAGGCCCUGCAUCAUUUGAUUUACCUGUACCUUCCUCAUCACUCCUAAGUGACUCUCUGUGAUCUUUCUCCAUUCUCUCUCUCCCCACCUCGCUCUUCUUUCAAGCUUGCCUUGCUUGACCUGGCUUCUUUGCCCUGCUGUUGUUUACCUCCGUCUGCCCCUGGCCAGCCCACUUGACCACACACCGCCUCUUCCCUUCUUACUGCCACCACCUUUGCCCUCCUUUCCUUCUCAGAUUUUCUCCUCUCUGCUUUUUAGCUGGUUCCUCUGUGGUUUUCAAACACUGAGGUCCCCACUCUCUCCAAAAGAAGAACAAAUAGACUAAACAAGAGGUUUCUGCCAGGUCCUUGCUGCGCUCUCGAUAAGCUCAAUGCUUCUGUAGCUCCUCGCUCUCUCAGCUCGGGCAGGCAGCCCAGCAUCCCCCCUCCCACGCGCUGAGCUCAGAGGGAGCUGUCACACUUUAUUCUAAGAAAUCAGCUAAUGUACAGUACUCAGCAGAGGCACCCCUCCCCUGGGAGGAUCAGCAGAAUUAGGAUGUGCAGCGAGCUAUCUUGGGGAUUGCACAAUCUUAUCACCUCCUCCAGGGUGCUGGGGAGGGGCGAGAACCGUGCGCACUGAGUCACACUUCCCCUGCGAUGGCUGCAGGUUUCCUGACUCACUUCCUCCCAGGACUUCUGUUUCCUUACUUCUCUACCCCAACAUCUCAAGCAAAGAAGUGUGGCAGAGAUGGAGCAGUCAAGGCAGCUGUGGCCCUGAGCUGCCUGAGCUCCAUGCCACUUGUCCUGUUUUGGGUUGAAUGUGAUGCGUCACAGCAGCUGGACACAGAGGAGCUGCUUGGUGCUGAGGGGGCUGAGAAUUUCGUCUGGCUAUGUGGCCAUUUGGUGUGGUGUGAGAAAUAGCCCCCUGCCCAUGCCUACAAAUGAAGUGACACGAGUGGGGCCCCCGGGUAACGCGUGGCCUGCUCCUGUGCUGCCCAAGUGCGGGAUGCAGCGCAGGGAUGGGAGCUGGGAGACCAAAAGAUGAUUCCCAACCCUUGUAGUGACAGGGGAGAGCCUGGAAAGGAUGACUUCCUCCAGACUCAGCAGCCUAAGGGCCAAAAGCAGCCCCUGCAGCCAUUCCGCCCUGACAGCCCUUCAGCUGAUUGAUUCCCAAGACCUGGCACAGGGUUCAGCACACUCUGAUGAGCCCUGUGCCACUCACCUGGAUGGAGCAGGAGGGCCCUGCUGAGUUACUGGAACAGCUGUCUCUUCAAUACCAGGAAGUUAGCUUUUCUGCAUCAGAGCCUGAUUUUAGGCAGUGCUGUGUGACAUAAAUUAACUUCACGUUGCUAGUUAUCCCCAAGGCUCAAUUCAUUCAAGCCUUUAUGUUAGAGAAAGUGUCUGCAUGAGGCCACAUGAAGUCCUGUGUAUCUCCCCAGUGACCCCACAGGCAGUGCAUGCUUCUGGGCCACACCACCAGCGAGCUGCAGCCUGGCCUGGCAUCGUGCUGCAUGCAGGGCCCAGCAGCUGGCAGGCCCUGGCAUGGCACCAGGCAGCACCCCUGGCCCUGCACUCAACACAUCACCCGUCCUGCUCACCAGAGGGCCAGCAGAAGGAAGCGGGCCUCUCCCUGGUGUUCAGUGGGACUUCCUGGAAGCACUACAAGGAGC